ensembl:miRNA
GGGUCGGUGGUCCUUGGGCAGGGGUCUCUGAUCCCGGACGAGCCCCCAAAUGAAAGACCCCCGAAAUGGGUGUCCCUU